CAGGUUUUGAGAGUAUUUUAGAAGGGCUUUAUGGACCACGGCUACGAAGAGACCUCAGUUUAUUUGAAGACUGUGAACCAGAAGAACUGACUGACUGGUCUAUGGAUGAAAAAUGUUCAUUUUGUAACCUACAAAGAGAAGCAGUCAGUGAUUGUAUACCAUCUCUUGAUUCUUCACAGUCAACACCAACAGAGGAACUAUCAUCUCAGGCCAGUCCAACACUGAAAAGAUUGAAUGCCAAGCAGAAAAUUACCUAAAUGCACUCUUUCGAAAGA